rnacentral:lncRNA from 1 species
GACAUUACAAAGCUUCCGGUUUCCCUUCCCGCUGUGUGUGAAGUCCUCCGUGCCGUCUGACCCACUUUAACUUUCUCAUUUGUUUGUUUUCUGGCUUCCCCUCUGGAAGCAUUGCCCCAUGAGGGGAAUGUGUGUGUUAUGGCUGCUUUCUUACCUUUGCCUGUGGCACUGUGCCAUGCGCAAGCGAGCUCAAGCGUUAAACACAGAAAGAAUACGAGGAAGAACACACAGCAGGCUAUGGCUGGUUGUCAUAGAAAGGCCUCAUCCCUGGAAGGUUUCUGCAGAACCUGAAACUGCCAGACCCCUGACCUAAGAAAAUGGAAGUCUUAGGUGAUCAUGGACCCUAAUGGGGGCACCAAGGGAUUAAGAGAUUAUGAAAAGAAAAGUUUAAGACUAGAAAAUCCCCAUGUGAGGGCUGACUGGCCUAUGAACCACCAAGACAACCUAAAGUAGGUAAACUGAAGCUGGCCUGGCUUGGCCUCCCCCUGGGACCUUAAUGGACUCGCAUCCUGGGAGUCUGGGUCCCAAGACCUAAUCCCUCUUUUGGCAUCGCUUGAUGUUGGACUCAAAGGAGACGCUCCUCUGCCCUGCAAUAAGAACUCAGUGUGGCCACAGGCUCACCAGCCUUGUCGUCUUCCUGGGCCAUGGAGAAGACUGCAUUUCCCAGCCUCAACUCCCAAGGCGAUGACGUGCUAUGGUUGGCUCCCACCAAAACUCAUCUCGAAGUGUGGUUGCCGAGGCAAUUGUGUUGGUCCAGCCUUUCCACUACCCCUAGAGUGACACUUCUUGCUUUGUCCCCUGCCUCCCACCAUGCCCAUGAGUUGAAGAUAAGGGUCUCAUAAAACAGAAGCAUCUUGGGAAGCUGAGGUCACAGGAUCAGAAGUUCAAGGACACUCUCUGCUACAUCUGCUGGUUUAGUUCCAGCUUGGACUACGUAAGACCCUGAGCCUUGUCCCCUGCACCACCACCCCCUGCCCAGGAAAAGAAGGAGAUUGGAUAUGGGAGUUGCUGUGCUCAGGCAAUUCAUUGACCUGGACUGUAUUUGUGCAAGCAAGAAAUAAACCUUUAUUACCACUGCA